UUUCUGGUUUGUAAGAAAUCUUUAUGUUUAAAUAUAUUCUUUAUGGCUACUUCUAACAUAUCAACCUCUAUAUUUUUCAAAAUAAAAUGUGCUUAUUCUCGCAUCUCUUUCACUUGGAGAAAACCAAUAAAUUGCAGGUUUAUCUGAAAAUAUACUGUAUUUAUAAGGUUUAACUCCGACACAAUCUGUAUAAUUAUUACUAAUUAUGCAUUUUUUAUCAUACGCCCAAAACAUAACAACAUUUUCAAAUUUAAAAUAUUCAUUAGAAUAUAUGAGUUUAAAAAUGCUUUCUGUAUGUUGAUUUUUUAUUUCUUUAGAAUUAUUUUUAUCAAUAUAAAAAUGUCUAAAUUCGUGAAAAAAAGUUGAUAAUAUCUGUUCUUCUUUGUU
rnacentral:misc_RNA from 1 species